UACGAAGGGGGCUAGCGUUGCUCGGAAUUACUGGGCGUAAAGGGUGCGUAGGCGGGUCUUUAAGUCAGAGGUGAAAUCCUGGAGCUCAACUCCAGAACUGCCUUUGAUACUGAGGAUCUUGAGUUCGGGAGAGGUGAGUGGAACUGCGAGUGUAGAGGUGAAAUUCGUAGAUAUUCGCAAGAACACCAGUGGCGAAGGCGGCCCACUGGCCCGAUACUGACGCUGAGGCACGAAAGCGUGGGGAGCAAACAGG
rnacentral:rRNA from 1 species